UACAGAGGUGCCGAGCGUUAGGCGGAAUCACUGGGCUUAAAGCGUGUGUAGGCGGACUUCUAAGUACCUUGUGAAAUCCCACGGCUCACCCGUGGAACUGCUGGGUAUACUGGUCGUCUUGAGCCACCUAGGGGCGAGCGGAACAAAUGGUGGAGCGGUGAAAUGCGUAGAUAUCAUUUGGAACGCCAACGGUGAAAACAGCUCGCUGGGGGUGUGCUGACGCUGGAGACACGAAAGCCAGGGUAGCGAGCGGG
rnacentral:rRNA from 1 species